GCCGCCGUAGUAUAGCCCGGUCAAGUAUGCGGGCCUCUCGCGCGGGAAACCCGGGUUCAAAUCCCGGCGGCGGCA
rnacentral:tRNA from 1 species